rnacentral:rRNA from 1 species
AGUGAACGCUGGCGGUAUGCCUAACACAUGCAAGUCGAACGGCAGCACAGUAAGAUCUUGCUCUUACGGGUGGCGAGUGGCGGACGGGUGAGGAAUACAUCGGAAUCUACUUUUUCGUGGGGAAUAACGUAGGGAAACUUACGCUAAUACCGCAUACGACCUACGGGUGAAAGCAGUGGAUCUUCGGACCUUUCCCGAUUGAAUUAGCCGAUGUCGGAUUAGCUAGUUGGCUGGGUAAGGGCCCACCAAGGCAACGAUCCGUAGCUGGUCUGAGAGGAUGAUCGGCCACACUGGAAAUGAGACACGGUCCAGACUCCUACGGGAGGCAGCAGUGGGGAAUAUUCCACAAGGGGCGAAAGCCUGACCGAGCAACGCCGCGGGAGUGAAGAAGGUCUGCGGAUCGUAAAACUCUUUUAUUAGGAAAGAACAAAGGUGUAAUUAACCAUGCACGUCUUGACGGUACCUAAUCAGAAAGCCACGGCUAACUUCGUG